GUGCUCACUUCUGCAGCACAAGUACUAAAAUUGGAACAAUAGAGGAGAUUGCAUGGCCCCUGCACAAGGAUGACACGCAAAUUUGUGACGUGUUCAUAUUUUAA
rnacentral:snRNA from 1 species